GGUACCUCCAAAGGAAGCUCCGGCUAACUCCGUGCCAGCAGCCGCGGUAAUACGGAGGGAGCAAACGUUGUUCGGAUUUACUGGGUGUAAAGGGUGCGUAGGCGGCUACGUGUGUCAGAGGUGAAAGCUCACGGCUCAACCGUGGAACUGCCUUUGAAACUGCGUAGCUUGAGUCCGAGAGAGGAUGGUGGAAUUCCUGGUGUAACGGUGAAAUGUGCAGAUAUCAGGAAGAACACCGGUGGCGAAGGCGGCCAUCUGGCUCGGUACUGACGCUGAGGCACGAAAGCUAGGGUAUCGAACGGGAUUAGAUACCCCGGUAGUCCUAGCCGUAAACGAUGUCCACUAGGUGUCGGAGGUCCUACCCCUUCGGUGCCGGAGCUAACGCAUUAAGUGGACCACCUGGGGAGUACGCUCGCAAGGGUGAAACUCAAAGGAAUUGACGGGGGCCCGCACAAGCGGUGGAGCAUGUGGUUUAAUUCGAUGCAACGCGAAGAACCUUACCUGGGCUUGACAUGCAGGGGACAGGUGUAGAGAUACACCCUUCUUCGGACUCCUGUACAGGUGCUGCAUGGCUGUCGUCAGCUCGUGUCGUGAAAUGUUGGGUUAAGUCCCGCAACGAGCGCAACCCUUGUCCUUAGUUGCCAGCACGUCAUGGUGGGAACUCUAGGGAGACUGCCGGUGACAAACCGGAGGAAGGUGGGGACGACGUCAAGUCAUCAUGGCCCUUACGUCCAGGGCUACACACGUGCUACAAUGGCACAUACAGAGGGCAGCGAACCCGCGAGGGGAAGCCAAUCCCAAAAAGUGUGCCUCAGUUCGGAUCGCAGUCUGCAACUCGACU
rnacentral:rRNA from 1 species